AUCCGUAGAAGAGCAGAGACACAGGCUCUGUUGUAAUGUUCCAUCUAGACAGAACCUGCAGAAGGAGGAUAUUUCUGCUUUGUACAUGAAUCAAUGAAAAAUAAUGUAAAAGGAGAAUAAAAUUAAUUUAGCCUUCUCUAGGAUACCUUUAAACAAAUACGGAUAUUAGAAUACCAUGACUGCUUUACAAUUACUUCAUGCCCUUUCUUUUUGUAACAUUCAGUGACACUACAUACCCAUUUGUGAUGACAUCACAUAAUUCAACUUCUUGUUUCCAUCUUCAAGCAAACAUGCAAAGCAACAGUUA